CUCGUGAUGAGUUGUGUUUAAAAAUUAGAAUCUGGAAUUAAUUGCUUCUUGUUUAAUUCAGUUAAUUUGUGUGAACUCUGUUCUUGUUCUCUAUGUUAAAACCCCGUGCCUUUUGAAAUGUAACUCAUUUGCUUUCUGCCCCUCCCUACUGUAAUAUUUCACUUCUGGGCUUCCCGCGUCCUCUGCAGCUGUCACAAGAAAGAUGGUGUUGCUUGUUGACGAGUUUUGGCAUAAGCUUAAUUCUAGGCUUCUCUCAGCUGGUUAUUUGCUAGAUUUAUGUAUGACGAAUGUGGGUUUGGGUGGUUUAAAGCCAUGCAAAGGCUACCAUUUACCUCAAGGUUCAUCUCUGGCACAGGGAUUUGUGAUUCCUAAAACAUGAUCCAGACAGCAUGACUAGAAUAUUGGAUAUCUGUCAAGACCUCAAGGUGAUUUUAGACACCGGUUGAAUUGUUUCCUUAAAAGUUGUCUGUGCAUGUUUCUAUAUAGUGAUUGAGCUGAAGUUGAUACCACUCACUAGGCCCUUCUUCCAUUCACUAAAUAGCCACCACCUUCAUU